AGACAGACAUGUGAUGUAACUGUGUUUGAUUGUGAUCAGUCCUGGUGCACACAGGUGAUGAUGAUGAGUGUUUCUCAGUUAGUUCUUCACAUGGAGACAGACACGUGAUGUAACUGUGUUUGAUUGUGAUCAGUCCUGGUGCACACAGGUGAUGAUGAAGAGUGUUUCUCAGUUAGUUCUUCACAUGGAGACAGACACGUGAUGUAAUUGUGUUUGAUUGUGAUCAGUCCUGGUGCACACAGUUGAUGAUGAUGAGUGUUUCUCAGUUAGUUCUUCACAUGGAG